GAGGACGCCCGUUCCAAUGGCAACUCUGCCAAGGCGCCUAUGAGAGCCUCUUGGCUUUUACCUGGUCUGCGAGAAAUCAAACUUUGGGCACAAGUCAUGAAGCCGACAAGCCCGGGAGACACAGUGUCAGAAUUACAAGGUGAGAUCAGCCGCCCGGCCAAGCUAUCUUCUCGCUAGCAGGAACACUACAAGGCCUGUUAGAGAAGAAAGGGUAGAAUCCCGAGAAUGUUUUCCCCACAGUGCUGAUAAGGAGAGACCACUAUCCCAUCUACUGCUACAGCUCUGGAGACAGAGCUCUCCCACCUGUCAUAUAGAACACAAGGACCAAUCUGCAGAGAAAGAGCAUCCAAACCUGAUCCAGUGGACACUGGGGAAAAACUCACCACAGCUGAGUGUGGAAAAACAAGGCCAACACACACAUCUCUGCACAGAUACAUCUCCCAUAAAGAAACUAAAGUGUUAAUUUACAGGGCACUGUUGCAGACCCACUUCAGCUGGAAGCUAGGAACAUGGACAAGGAGCCUCUCUACCACCAAGGGAGAGAGAGGAAUGUGCUCUUGUCCUGGCAUUGCAUCCACAGGAGGGGCAGGAAAUUCUUUGAAGUUCGUUUUCAUAGAAUUCUUCAUACCUGUUUCUAUGAGGAAUGAACUGGAUGUGUUUGAAGACAAGCUGAAGAGCUACGUUACCUCUGUGAACAAAGUGGGGAUGCUGGCUCCAUUAACCCUGCAGGUGAAAAAGCUGAUCAACCCCAGGUCAUAUUUUGUAAACAUGUUUAAGGCUAAAUUAAAAUUUGAACAUGCUCUAAGAAUUUUUUUUCAAUAGCCUGUUUAUUUUUAAUGCCUAUUGGAAAAAUUGAAAUGAAUAUUUAAUUUCAAAUUUGGACAAAAUAAAACACCAAACACUUUUUUCAUUAAGAUGCUAAAGAAAGUUUAUUUAUAUCUUUUGAACUUUGUCUUAAAUUCAUUUGUAUCUUAAAAUGGAAGCUUUCUUUGAAAACUACAUAUUCUAGCUCACUGACAUUGAAUGGAAAGCUAUUAACUAUUCCCCAAUGAGGAAGGAUCUUCUAAAAUGGGGCUAAAAUACAUGAAAUAAAUGGUUUCCAAUAGCUCCUGCAGCUUUGCCAAGUCCAUGUCAAAAAAUUACAUGUAUGGGUUUAUUUCCUGACUUUUAAUUCUAUUCCAUUAAUGUGUUUGUAUUGAUCUUGGAUCCUACAACUUUGCAGAAUUUGAUUAUUAGUGUUAACAGUUCUAUUGUUAUUAAUUAGGAUUUUAAUUUUAUGUAUAAAAUUAUAACAUCUAUAUAUAGAAAUAAGCUUUUUUCUUUUCCAAUUGGAGUGUUUCUGUUUUUGUGUUGCCCAAUUAUUCUGGCCAGAUUUCUAUUACAAUGUUGAUCAGAAGUGAGGAAUGCAGGUAUCCUUGCCUUGUUCCCGAUUUUAGGGGGAAAGCUUUUAAUCUUUCAUCACUGCAUAUAAUGGUAGUUUUGAGUUUUUUAUACG
ensembl:lncRNA LINC02987 long intergenic non-protein coding RNA 2987